rnacentral:rRNA from 1 species
AACGAACGCUGGCGGCAUGCCUAACACAUGCAAGUCGAACGAGACCUUCGGGUCUAGUGGCGCACGGGUGCGUAACGCGUGGGAACCUGCCCUUAGGUUCGGAAUAACUCCCCGAAAGGGGUGCUAAUACCGGAUAAUGUCUUCGGACCAAAGAUUUAUCGCCUUUGGAUGGGCCCGCGUUGGAUUAGCUAGUUGGUAGGGUAAAAGCCUACCAAGGCGACGAUCCAUAGCUGGUCUGAGAGGAUGAUCAGCCACACUGGGACUGAGACACGGCCCAGACUCCUACGGGAAGCAGCAGUGGGGAAUAUUGGACAAUGGGCGAAAGCCUGAUCCAGCAAUGCCGCGUGAGUGAUGAAGGCCUUAGGGUUGUAAAGCUCUUUUACCCGGGAUGAUAAUGACUGUACCGGGAGAAUAAGCUCCGGCUAACUCCGUG